GUGGGGAAUAUUGGACAAUGGGCGCAAGCCUGAUCCAGCAAUGCCGCGUGGGUGAAGAAGGUCUUCGGAUCGUAAAGCCCUUUCGACAGGGACGAUGAUGACGGUACCUGUAGAAGAAGCCCCGGCUAACUUCGUGCCAGCAGCCGCGGUAAUACGAAUGGGGGCUAGCGUUACUCGGAAUUACUGGGCGUAAAGGGCGCGUAGGCGGCUCUGUUAGUCAGGCGUGAAAUUCCUGGGCUUAACCUGGGGACUGCGCUUGAUACUGCAGGGCUUGAGGCCGAGAGAGGGUGGUGGAAUUCCCAGUGUAGAGGUGAAAUUCGUAGAUAUUGGGAAGAACACCGGUGGCGAAGGCGACCACCUGGCUCGGUUCUGACGCUGAGGCGCGACAGCGUGGGGAGCAAACAGGAUUAGAAACCCUGGUAGUCC
rnacentral:rRNA from 1 species